rnacentral:rRNA from 1 species
CAGCAGCCGCGGUAAUACAGAGGGUGCGAGCGUUAAUCGGAUUUACUGGGCGUAAAGCGUGCGUAGGCGGUUACUCAAGUCAGAGGUGAAAGCCCGGGGCUCAACCCCGGAACUGCCUUUGAAACUAGGUGACUAGAAUCUUGGAGAGGUCAGUGGAAUUCCGAGUGUAGAGGUGAAAUUCGUAGAUAUUUGGAAGAACACCAGUGGCGAAGGCGACUGACUGGACAAGUAUUGACGCUGAGGUGCGAAAGCGUGGGGAGCAAACAGGAUUAGAUACCCCUGUAGUCCCUGUCUCUUAUAC